AAAAAAAAAAGAAAAAGAAAAGAAAUUCCCCUUGCGUUGUAAUGUUGAAUUACAUUACUUUCCUUUGUGCUUUUGAAUUAUUGGGUUGUUGAUUGGAGAAAAAAAGUAAAGUUUUGGAAACUGUAAUGCUUGAAAGAUAGCAGUGAACAAGUAGAGAUUUGUAUCUAUUCAAUAAAUCUACUUUUGUGUUCUUGUGGUGCAUAAAGGGCAGGUUCUACUGUUAUAUUUCUGACUUUGUGUGAUUUAUUUUUCAUCCUCUACCAUUCUUUUGAUGAGGAGCAGUUAUGCAUAUUACACAG
rnacentral:misc_RNA from 1 species